AGUGAACGCUGGCGGUAGGCCUAACACAUGCAAGUCGAACGGCAGCACAGUAAGAGCUUGCUCUUACGGGUGGCGAGUGGCGGACGGGUGAGGAAUACAUCGGAAUCUACUUUUUCGUGGGGGAUAACGUAGGGAACCUUACGCUAAUACCGCAUACGACCUACGGGUGAAAGCAGGGGAUCUUCGGACCUUGCGCGAUUGAAUGAGCCGAUGUCGGAUUAGCUAGUUGGCGGGGUAAAGGCCCACCAAGGCGACGAUCCGUAGCUGGUCUGAGAGGAUGAUCAGCCACACUGGAACUGAGACACGGUCCAGACUCCUACGGGAGGCAGCAGUGGGGAAUAUUGGACAAUGGGCGCAAGCCUGAUCCAGCCAUACCGCGUGGGUGAAGAAGGCCUUCGGGUUGUAAAGCCCUUUUGUUGGGAAAGAAAAGCAGCAGGUUAAUACCCCGCUGUUCUGACGGUACCCAAAGAAUAAGCACCGGCUAACUUCGUG
rnacentral:rRNA from 1 species